UGGUGGAGUGAUUUGUCUGGUUAAUUCCGUUAACGAACGAGACCUUAGCCUGCUAAAUAGUUGCGGGAAACCUUGGUUUCUUGUUAACUUCUUAGAGGGACUUCGUGUGUUUAACACGAGGAAGUUUGAGGCAAUAACA
rnacentral:rRNA from 1 species